rnacentral:rRNA from 1 species
CCAGACUCCUACGGGAGGCAGCAGUGAGGAAUAUUGGUCAAUGGGCUUACGCCUGAACCAGCCAAGUCGCGUGAGGGAAGACUGCCCUAUGGGUUGUAAACCUCUUUUGUCAGGGAGCAACGCCGGCUACGUGUAGCCGGACUGAGAGUACCUGAAGAAAAAGCAUCGGCUAACUCCGUGCCAGCAGCCGCGGUAAUACGGAGGAUGCGAGCGUUAUCCGGAUUUAUUGGGUUUAAAGGGUGCGUAGGCGGACGCUUAAGUCAGCGGUAAAAUUGCGGGGCUCAACCUCGUCGAGCCGUUGAAACUGGGUGCCUUGAGUGGGCGAGAAGUACGCGGAAUGCGUGGUGUAGCGGUGAAAUGCAUAGAUAUCACACAGAACACCGAUUGCGAAGGCAUCUCACGAAUCCGCGAUUGACGCUGAUGCACGAAAGCGUGGGUAUCAAACAGGAUUAGAUACCCCUGUACG